rnacentral:lncRNA from 1 species
GAUUUAAGGAGACCCUGAAUGCAGUUCCAAGUGUCCUUGAAAGGAGGUCAUGUGGAGUCAGGACAGGAAGGCUGAAGAGAUAUGAUCCCUCCCUCCAGGCAAGGCAUGUCUGGAGAUGCAGGCAGCAGGAAGCAGCGUCUCCCAGCCAGUGCUAUGAGCACUGCCUUGCUCACAGCUGGAUUUUGAACUCUGACUCCCAGAACUAUGAGAAGAGAUUUGUCUGUGUGCCGCUACCUGGUUUCUGGGCCUUUUUGACACACACAGCCCCAGGAUGGUCAUUCAGCUCAGGCUUCAGGCCAGGCCAGGGGAUACCUGCUCUGUUGGUCACACUCCAGUGCAGAAGAACAAGCCUCUACCUCCUGGGAGUCUCCAGGCCUGACCACACACACUGGGCAGCUCUAGAUACUCCAUAUCAGGAGUUCCUCGUGUCCUUGGUAGAAAUGCGACAAUUAGAGCCCCGGCAGGUCCCUGAGUAUAAAGUUGAGGACUCCAUUGGAUUAAUAAGCAGAAGGGUGGGUGCUAGACGGGGAGGAGGGAAGAAGGAGCACUCUAGAUGGGGAGGAGGAAGGAACACUCUAGAUGGAAAGGAGCACUCUAGAUGGGGAGGACAGAAGAAGGAGCACUCUAGAUGGGGAAAAGAGAAGAAGGAGCAUUCUAGAUGGGGAGGAGGGAAGAAGGAGCACUCUAAAUGGGGAAAAGGGAAGAAGGAGCAUCUAGAUGUGGAGGAGGGAAGAAGGAGCACUCUAGUUGGAGAAAAGGGAAGAAGGAGCACUCUAGAUGGGGAGGAGGUAGGAGCACUCUAGAUGGGGAGGACAGAAGAAGGAGCACUCUAGAUGGGGAAAAGGGAAGAAGGAGCACUCUAGAUGGGGAGGAGGGAAGAAGGAGCACUCUAGGUUUGGAGAAGGAAGGAGCACUCUAGAUGGGAAGGAGCACUCUAGAUGGGAAGGACAGAAGAAGGAGCACUUUAGAUGGGGAAAAGGGAAGAAGGAGCACUCUAGAUGGGGAGGAGGGAAGAAGGAGCACUCUAUCCAAUGAGCAGACCAAAAAACGCCAGCUUGCUGUGAAUCGCCAUGGCAAGUUUAAUGUUUUCUGGAAAGAGCAGGGUAGAGCACAGGAGGCAGCA